rnacentral:ncRNA from 12 species
ACAACUCAGGUCUGUGGUUGAAAGUCGAUGCCAGUUGCAGGCAAAACGAUCCACGUAAGCAGUAAAAAUUACUGUGAGCACGGUGCAGCUUAGAAGUAAGUCCUGCCGCAUAAAAAUUGAGGCGAGAGAGUUAGUAGUGGGGAGCAGAGUCUUAGGAGCGAACCCUCCAGCAGGCGAGUGUGGGGGCGAAAACCAGGUCAGCUGAGUUGU